rnacentral:lncRNA from 1 species
GUGUCAGAUUAUCAUAAACCAGUGUUUAAGAUUCUAAAAACUUCAUUGAGAAAGUGGAACCAUAAAAACCUGCUUUUCAGAACAAUGAAAUAAGAAAUUACUUUUUGUUGUACUGUUGUUUUUAAGCUGAAUAAUCAAAAAUAGAAUUUUUAUUCUUACCAGUUUGUCUGUGUCAAUAUAUAAAUCAUAUUUUUCCAUAUCUUUUUUUACAGAUUGAAAUUGUCAAAGAAGAAUUCAAUGAACACUUAGAAGUAGUAGACAAGAUAAACCUGAUCUGUAAAAAUCUACAAUUUCAUCUAAAUAAAAUGAAAACUUUUGAAGAGCCCCCUUUUGAAAAAGAGGCUAAUGUUAUUGUGGAUAGAUGGCUUGAUAUAAAUGAAAAGACAGAAGAAUACUAUGAAAACCUUGGUCGAGCUCUGGCUUUGUGGGACAAACUUUUUAAUUUAAAAACUUUCAUUGAUGAAUGGACUGAAAAAGCCCUUCAAAAAAUGGGCUCACACCCACUGACGGAGGAAGACAGAGAGAGACUGAGGGUAAGUCAGCGGGGCUCCAUAGAUAGUCUGUACAAAGUUGAUCGUGUUAGAGUUUGCUUUCUUGGAGCAGGGAAAAAAAAAUCACCAAGAAACGGAGUGUUUUAUUCUUUUCAUUAUCCCUUCAGAGGGACUUGAACUAUAUUCAUCCCUUUGCAGUAUCCAGGCAAAUGUUAGUGGAUACUAUUAAUCUAGGGUUCAUAGAAAUUGAAGAAGGUUCAUGGAUAAAAAUGACCUUUGAUGGGAAAAGACUACAUCUUUAUUUUCACAAAUGUCUAAUCGAAAUGUAGCAUUUGCUUCAUUUAUGGCAUAGGCAACAUGCAUAGUAGGAUGAGCAUUAUAUGUAACUUUGCUUUCAAGAAAAUCACAGAUACUUGGGGGAUAUUAUUCAGUUCUUACAACUAUUACCCUUAUCACUUUGAAAGUAUAGGAUUUAGUAGACCCACUGCUAGAUUGUGUAAUUUAAGAUAUUAAUCAAGAAACAUGG